ACCACUACCCCACUCCUGUGCUUUGACUCCAUCAACGGAGUAGCACGCAACAGGGAUGAGGAAGAUGAGGAGGAGGAGGUUGAAGAUAGCUCACAGCAAGGAAGCUGAGAAACCGUUUCCCCGACAGUCAGGAACUGUUUCUCACCCUGGACAUGCAGUCAGUACCCCCCGAACCCACCCAAGGCUGCCUCCCGGACCCAUCAGGCGGAGAAGGGACCUCUAAGGCCAAUGAAGAUUAGAAGGCAAAAAAAAAAAGCACUCACGAUGAAAUGUUCUCUGCAGUCCUCCCACACUGAAAGAGCCCAGUAGAAUGCGUGGAGGCAGACAAUGUCAGAGUCCAGGAAAGCACAAUAUGAACAUGAGGAUAGGUGCCGGCUGAAGAUAAUAAGUGGCGGGC